GCAAAGUUCGACACUGUUAUUAAUUUGCAAAACAUUUCACCGAAGGCAGUUUUCAAAACCUUGUACAGUUAAACAGGAUUUGCUAAGCUGCUGUUACUGAAACGAGGGGCUGUUCCGACCGUAAGGUCAUCACAACCGCAUGCUGUUUUAUCUAGCAGCCAUGCACUUCAAUGAGAAUGCUGAGUCCCCACAACAGAAGACAGCCAAGGAGAAACUAUGUACAGACUUGCCAAACAAUUUAUCAUCAAAGACCCUCUUCCUUAUUGGGAUGCCGUCCAGCGGAUUCCUGUGCCCCAGGACUUGUGUGCUCAGCUAGACAGACCUUCCAUGGAGGAUGCUGUUGCUGAACAUGUCACGCGGUUCAGUCGAAAAGGGGUCUGAAUCCAACGUACUGCCCUGAAGUAUCCGGAAGUUCCCUCCAUAUGCGUAGCACCACACACAAGGGGAUCAUGACACGGACGCUUCUUCUAAGGAAACCCCAGCUCCUGCUCACAAAAGACCUGUAGGCCAAGUCACUUCAUUGCCUGCAACGAGAACAGGGUGGAAAAGCAAAUUUUUUUACUAUUUAUUUUUUAAUAUUUUACAUCAGAGUAUCACUGGACGAUUGUUGAAAAAAA